UGUUUGAUUCUCCCGAGCCCGCUUUCAAGUGGUAGGGGUGUGGCCUUCCAACAAGCUCACUCCUGAUUGGUGGGAGUGAGCGCUGACUCAGACGGACUUGGACCAAUCACUGCUUACUGACGGCGUCUGGCUCCAACAUGCAGCGUCGCCUCGUGGGAAAAUGAAGGCUACAUUGACUUCAUCUGAUUGGAGGGGGAGUCAAAGGGGUACCUGAAGGGAACAGAUGCUGCAUUGAAGACAUUCUUGAUGAAACAGAAAGACAUGAGUGUCUCAUAAAAGUGUACAUAACUUAAGCAAACACGAGGAGUUUGGACCUUGGACCAGUUCUGGCUCCACAGGCAGUCAGGAGGUUCGUGGAAACUCCAUCAUGACCAGAACUAAACACCCUACAAACCAAAAACAUCAGCUGAACAACAUUGGAAGGAAUUCUCAGUCGUUCCCAGCUCUUCUUCUUCUGCCACCUGGUCCCUGUUCCAGAAAGCAGGUUAUGCUAGUUACCACGAUUUUAGGCACAAACAUGUUUGAAAACUGCUGCUGUUCUGUGAUCCUGCUUUUCAAGGUGAAAACCCAACAUUUAGAGUUUUAGGACGCUGAAUGUGUCUCUCUCCAUCACAAGUAUUUCUGCUGGAUUUGACUUAGUAUCUACUUUUCUCACAGUUUCAGGAGGAUGGUGAACAUCUCCGUCAAGUGUUGAAGAACCUAAACCUCACUGAAACUGGAAGGAAAGAGGCAGAAAACGUUUGAUUACUGUUCAUAUAACUCAGCGAAGUCCAGCCCAGGGAACAUCAAGCCUUAUGCAAGCCUGCCCUCAGAGAGCCUCCUGAACCUGAAAGUGGUAGUCCUCAGCCUCAGAGCAGUCACAAACCCCAGCUGUAGAUAACUUCUCACAGUGGUGUUGUGAUGCUGAGUCAUGUGACACCAAAACACGACUUCAUCCUCACAGCCAGAUGUUUACCAGGACAUGGAGAGAAUCCUCUGACCGCAGGAGACAGCAGACUCAGAAGCAGACGUGUUCUGAGCGUUUCUGUGAAGCCCUGAAGGAUGGAGCUCACACCGUCAGCCCUCACUCUCCGGCUGCUCCACAUGGUCAUCUGCGUCACAAACACAGAAGCUCCUGGUGACUCAGAUGAAGAAAGCUGAGCUGGAGGAGAACAGCAGAUCCUGACACUCCUCCUCACUCCUACCUCCUCCUCACACUCCACAUGCAGUCUCUUUAUAAUGGUCUGGAAUGGCACCAGAACCCGUCUGAGGAUAGGGAUCCAGGACCCCCCCCCCACACACACACACGCACACACACAGCAGGUGGCAGUAUGCCCCCCUUUCAAUGGUCUCCCAUCCACCAAUAAAUGUAACGUAGAAAAGAAAUCUCCUGGAGCUGAGAGUGCGUUCUUAUAUUACCUACUAAGGUCUGUCCUUAAGCUCUUUGUAGUCUGUAGUUGGGAGAGGGGUGGGGACGUCACUGAUGUCAGCACUUCAGAAAAUGGCGCCCUGACGGUUUAAGGUACGUCACGUCCAACAAGUGGUUGUAGAAAAAUGAUUCUCUUUGCUUUUGUUCCAGAGAAUCCUUCCUGUCAGCUGUUGGGAGAGGUUCAGCUCCUGCAGAAGAUCCCGUUGGUUCUGGAAAGAUCCGGCUGUGUUCGGAUCACUGAAAAUAAACGGGAAGAGCUUCGUAUUCCUGAAAACUUUGGUUAAAUGUUUGAAAACUACAGCAAACUUUCAGCUGCAUUAUAAUAAUGACUCAGCAGGGAUUUCUGCUGUAUGGUGUAGAGUCAAGUCUUCAGCAUGGAAACUUGAUCUUUACGGCCUUUUGCUUUCAUUACAAUCUGUGUAUAUUAAUGAAUGACACAACAAUCACACAAUUAAUAUAAAACACAACUAACUUCCGGUUUCAUCCUGGGUCAGAUUCCUGUUUGUCAAAUCAAAACGUUGGACUUUGACUUUCCUCUCAUAAUGAACUUAGCAGCCAUCAAAUCUUCCCAUGAAGGAUGAGGCCAUGUUCUGCUCUUCAACUCAUUCAGUGUUGAAGUUGUUGCUGUUUGGAUGACUUGAGGGUUUCUUCGUGCCUCUGGCUGUUUGCAGCAUCUUCAGAGAUCCUCUUCAGCAUCCACUCUCAGAGUUCAGACGCUCCUGUCCGGGUUUGCUGAUCCAACAGGUGUGGGCGGAGUCAACUCAACCAUGUGACAUCUGCUCAGACACCGUGAAGAAAAUAAACUACAGUCAUGAAAAAGAGAGGCUUUCCAAGAAAUCCAGCAGGUUGAUGUUGUUUACUGAAAGCAGAAGUCAGUCCCAGCAGGAGGCAGUUUGCCUGAUAGGCUACAUCUGGAUGGAUAACAUGUUUACUUCCUUGUAAUUAUGCAGAGAAACGAGGGAGAAGCAAAAGAUUUUAAGCAGCUUAGAGGCAAACAGAUCGAGGUGUGUUUUAUUUUUGACAAAGCAGCGGAAGCUGGAAACGCUUCUAUACCCAUGUCUGCCUGCUGAAUGAUGUGCAGUCCAAGAAUGUUGGGAAAAGUGCUGCCAAGGCAUCUCUGCUGUCGCCAUAGCAACAGAGCACAACAGAGCAUCACAUGGGGAAGCACGACAGGCGGGUGGGUCCUUCCACAGGAGCAUAAUCCACCAUGACGCCCGUCCGUCUGCUCCGUUUUUCUGCUCCUUCACCUCUGUGGUUGAGGCUUUUAAAAGGGUAAACGCUGGAUUACUCAUUAUAGGUAAAAAAAAAA